AUUGAACGCUGGCGGCAUGCCUUACACAUGCAAGUCGAACGGCAGCACGGGAGCAAUCCUGGUGGCGAGUGGCGAACGGGUGAGUAAAGUAUCGGAACGUGCCCAGUCGUGGGGGAUAACGUAGCGAAAGUUACGCUAAUACCGCAUACGAUCUAUGGAUGAAAGCGGGGGAUCGCAAGACCUCGCGCGAUUGGAGCGGCCGAUAUCAGAUUAGGUAGUUGGUGGGGUAAAGGCUCACCAAGCCGACGAUCUGUAGCUGGUCUGAGAGGACGACCAGCCACACUGGGACUGAGACACGGCCCAGACUCCUACGGGAGGCAGCAGUGGGGAAUGUUGGACAAUGGGCGAAAGCCUGAUCCAGCCAUGCCGCGUGCAGGAUGAAGGCCUUCGGGUUGUAAACUGCUUUUGUACGGAACGAAAAGGUUUGGCCUAAUAAGCUGAGCUCAUGACGGUGCCGUAAGAAUAAGCACCGGCUAACUACGUGCCAGCCGCCGCGGUAA
rnacentral:rRNA from 1 species